CUUUCCUCCAGGCUGGUUGGUGUUGAUAUUGACGUUCCUGUUCUUGAGAAUAACACCAUAACAGGUGUGAUCACUGCUUCAUCCUGAGCUUCCUUCAUCUAUAAGCCAUCCAUAAAUCCCAUGACAGUGGGCAAUUCACAGUUCCCUUGCAAGUCCCAAGCCAUGGUCUACAGGGCAUUCACUGAUGGGGCCUGAAGAACCGACAGAUCACAGGUGCUACUGACCCCCAGCUCAUU
rnacentral:lncRNA from 1 species